rnacentral:rRNA from 1 species
AUGAUUGACCAAUAUAAACAUCAACAACUUCAAAUUGGACUCGUUUCCCCUCAACAAAUAAAGGCUUGGGCUAACAAAAACCUACCUAAUGGAGAAGUCGUUGGCGAAGUCACAAGGCCCUCUACUUUUCAUUAUAAAACCGAUAAACCAGAAAAAGAUGGACUGUUUUGCGAAAGAAUCUUUGGACCCAUAAAAAGCGGGAUUUGCGCUUGUGGCAAUUCUCGAGCGAGCGGAGAUGAAAACGAAGACGAAAGAUUUUGCCAAAAAUGCGGGGUAGAAUUUGUGGAUUCUCGCAUACGAAGAUAUCAAGGAUACAUCAAACUCGCAUGUCCCGUGACUCAUGUGUGGUAUUUGAAAGGUCUUCCUAGUUAUAUCGCGAAUCUUUUAGAUAAACCUCUUAAGAAGUUGGAGGGCCUAGUAUACGGCGAUUUCUCUUUUGCUAGGCCCAGCACAAAAAAACCCACUUUUCGAUUACGAGGUUUAUUCGAAGAGGAAAUUGCAUCCUGUAACCACAACAUUUCUCCCUUUUUUACCCCAGGCUUUGCAACAUUUCGAAAUCGGGAAAUUGCGACAGGAGCAGGUGCUAUUAGAGAACAAUUAGCAGAUUUGGAUUUGCGAAUUAUUAUAGAGAAUUCUUUGGUCGAAUGGAAGGAAUUAGAAGACGAGGGGUAUAGUGGAGAUGAGUGGGAAGAUAGAAAAAGACGAAUAAGAAAAUUUUUGAUUAGACGCAUGCAAUUGGCGAAACAUUUUAUUCAAACAAAUGUAGAACCAGAAUGGAUGGUUUUGUGCGUAUUACCGGUUCUUCCUCCCGAAUUGAGACCUAUUGUUUAUAGGUCUGGAGAUAAAGUAGUGACUUCAGACAUUAAUGAACUUUAUAAGAGAGUUAUCCGUCGGAACAACAAUCUUGCCUAUCUAUUAAAAAGAAGUGAAUUAGCGCCAACAGAUUUAGUAAUGUGCCAGGAAAAAUUGGUACAAGAAGCCGUGGAUACACUUCUUGAUAGUGGGUCCCGCGGGCAACCAACGAGGGAUGGUCACAAUAAAGUAUACAAAUCACUUUCAGAUGUAAUUGAAGGUAAAGAGGGAAGGUUUCGCGAGACUCUGCUUGGGAAACGGGUCGAUUACUCGGGGCGUUCUGUCAUUGUUGUGGGUCCUUCGCUUUCAUUACAUCAAUGUGGAUUACCUCUAGAGAUAGCAAUAAAGCUUUUUCAGCUAUUUGUAAUUCGCGAUUUAAUCACGAAAUGCGCCACUUCUAAUGUAAGGAUUGCUAAAAGGAAAAUUUGGGAAAAAGAACCCAUUGUACGGGAAAUACUUCAAGAAGUUAUGCGGGGACAUCCUGUACUGUUAAAUAGAGCACCUACCCUGCAUAGAUUAGGCAUACAGGCCUUUCGACCCACUUUAGUAGAGGGGCGUACUAUUUCUUUACACCCAUUAGUGUGUAAGGGUUUCAAUGCGGACUUUGAUGGAGAUCAAAUGGCUGUUCAUCUACCUUUAUCCUUGGAAGCUCAGGGAGAAGCCCGUUUACUUAUGUUUUCUCAUAUGAAUCUCUUAUCUCCCGCUAUUGGGGAUCCUAUUUGCGUACCAACCCAAGACAUGCUUAUCGGGCUUUAUGUAUUAACGAUUGGAAAGCGUUGAGGUAUUUGUGCAAAUAGAUAUAAUAGUUGCAGAAACUACCCAAAUCUAAAAGUAAAUUACAAUAAUAAUAAUAAUUCUAAAUAUAGGAAAGAUAACGAACCCCAUUUUUCUAGUUCUUAUGAUGCACUGGGAGCUUAUAGACAAAAACUAAUCAGUUUAGAUAGUCCCUUGUGGCUACGAUGGAACCUGGAUCAACGCGUCAUUGGGUCAAGAGAAGUUCCGAUUGAAGUUCAAUAUGAAUCUUUGGGGACUUAUCAUGAGAUUUAUGCCCACUAUCUAAUAAUGGGAAAUAGAAAAAAAGAAAUCCGUUCGAUAUACAUUCGAACCACUCUUGGUCAUAUUUCUUUUUAUAGAGAAAUAGAGGAAGCCAUACGAGGAUUUAGUCAGGCCUAUUCAUACACUACCUAA